rnacentral:rRNA from 1 species
AGUCGAACGAGGCUUCCGAUUGGUGGAGUACGGGUGAGUAACCCGGGGGAAUCUGCCCUCUGGAGGGGGAUAACGGCCGGAAACGGCCGCUUAUACCCCAUAUGCCCAGAGGUGAAAUGAAUUUCGCCUGAGGAUGAGCCCGCGUCUGAUUAAUUAUUUGGUGAGGUAAGAGAUCACCUACGCAUCGUUCAAUAUCUGGUCUGAGAGGAUGAUCAAUCACACUGGUAGUGAGACACGGCCCACACUCCUUCCGGAGGGAGGAGUGGGGAAUUUUCCUCACUGGGCGAAAGACUGACGGAGCAACGCCUCGCGAGGGAUGAAAGACUCUGGGCUGUAAACCUCUUUUAUCUUGGAAGAAGAUCUGACGGUGCUUGAUGAAUAAACCACGGCUAAUUCCGUGCCAGCAGCCGCGGUAAUACGGGAGUGGCAAGCGUUAUCCGGAAUUAUUGGGCGUAAAGCGUCCGCAGGCGGGCCAACAAGUCUGCUGGUAAAAAGUGGAGAUUAACUCCAUCAUGGCAGCGUAAACUGUUGUCCUAUAGAGUGUUAGGGGCAGAGGGAAUUCCCGGUGUAUCGAUGAAAUGCUUACAUAUCGGAAAGAACACCACUGGCGAAGGCGCUCUGCUGUGCCAUCACUGACGCUCAUGGACAAAAGCCAGGGGAGCGAAAGGGAUUAGAUACCCCUGUAGUCCUGGCCGGAAAAGAUGAACACUAGGAGUCGUGGGAAUCCACCCCUCCGGGGUCAUAACCAACAGCGUUAACUGUUCCCCCUGGGAGAGUACGCACGCAAGUUGUGAAACUCAAA